rnacentral:rRNA from 1 species
UACAGAGGCCUCGAGCGUUAGGCGGAAUCACUGGGCUUAAAGCGUGUGUAGGCGGACUUCUAAGUACCUUGUGAAAUCCCACGGCUCACCCGUGGAACUGCUCGGUAUACUGGUUGUCUUGAGCCUUCUAGGGGCGAGUGGAACAAAUGGUGGAGCGGUGAAAUGCGUAGAUAUCAUUUGGAACGCCAAUGGUGAAAACAACUCGCUGGGGGAAGUGACCGACGCUGAGACACGAAAGCCAGGGGAGCGAACGGG